GGAUGUGAGGGCGAUCUGGCUGCGACAUUUGUCACCCCAUUGAUUGCCAGGGUUGAUUCGGCUGAUCUGGCUGUCUAGGCGGGUGUCUCCUUCCUCCCUCAACACUCCAUGUGCGUCCCUCCCGAAGCUGCACGCUCGGUCGAAGAGGAUGACCACCCCCAAUAGAGGAGGACCGUUCCUCGGUCAAGGGUAUACGAGUAGCUGUGCUCCCCUGCUAGAACCUCCAAACAAGCUCUCAGGAAACACCCCAGAGCACUCCCCUGCCCCUUCACCUGCCCCCUCCAGCAAGAAAAUGAUCUAUAAACCCUGAAACCCAGCCUCAGCAGACAAUGAAUUUGUUGGUUCCUUGA
rnacentral:snRNA from 1 species